rnacentral:rRNA from 1 species
CUUGGGGAUUAGUGGCGAACGGGUGAGUAACACGUGAGUAACCUGCCCUUGACUCUGGGAUAAGCGUUGGAAACGACGUCUAAUACCGGAUACGAGCUUCCACCGCAUGGUGAGUUGCUGGAAAGAAUUUUGGUCAAGGAUGGACUCGCGGCCUAUCAGCUUGUUGGUGAGGUAACGGCUCACCAAGGCGACGACGGGUAGCCGGCCUGAGAGGGUGACCGGCCACACUGGGACUGAGACACGGCCCAGACUCCUACGGGAGGCAGCAGUGGGGAAUAUUGCACAAUGGGCGAAAGCCUGAUGCAGCAACGCCGCGUGAGGGACGACGGCCUUCGGGUUGUAAACCUCUUUUAGCAGGGAAGAAGCGAAAGUGACGGUACCUGCAGAAAAAGCACCGGCUAACUACGUGCCAGCAG